rnacentral:misc_RNA from 1 species
UGUGUUUGUUUGGCUUUAUGGGAUAUGUGAGGAUCGAUACUGUAAAGAUGUUCAUCCAUAGGGAAAAGAGAUAGUUGUGGAGAUGGAUUGGCAUUUUUGGACAGGUUCAUCUAAGAGUCUACAUGCUCAGAAGAAAAGGAUUAGUUCAUAUUCUGUUAUUUGGUAUUUGCUUUAGGAAUCAAAGGAGAAGGGAAUGCUUUUAGCCAAACUCCAUAUUUCUAUUUUGAGUUUUCAGAUUGGUUUGGAUUGCCCCCCUUAGCUUCCAUACAUGCUCUACUAAAAUGACCCACACGACCACAUAGAAAACAUAAUCUAGUAACCUCUCGUAUUUCAAAUCCACUCAGUGGAGUUUUCCAUCUAGCUUUCUAUUCUAGAAUCCAAUCUUAAAAGGUCGAUCUACCAGUAACUCCACCCUCAACCAUAGAUAAUUAGGAAAGCCUCUGAUACCAUCCCUAUCAAAAUCUACUUCUACAAAAUUCCCCGGCAUAUCUCCAAUCAUUUUUGCAUUUGUUGGGUUUAGUUGAUUUGGGGGCAAGCCAUGAGCUUGGACCCAAAAAAGGGAAUGAGUGAAAUGGAUUUCUUCAAAUGCUUUGUCUGGAGGCCAUUUUUGUAUGGAUAGAUGAUAAUUGUGAACUGACUAGGGCUUGUUUUCAAUCACAAAUUUAACAUCAGCCUCAUGCUCAAACUUAAAAAGAAACAGGUUGGGUUUUUUGGGUGCUACUUGAAAA